AUUGAACGCUGGCGGCAGGCCUAACACAUGCAAGUCGAACGAGUGGCGGACGGGUGAGUAAUGUCUGGGAAACUGCCUGAUGGAGGGGGAUAACUACUGGAAACGGUAGCUAAUACCGCAUACCAUCGGAUGUGCCCAGAUGGGAUUAGCUAGUAGGUGGGGUAAAGGCUCACCUAGGCGACGAUCCCUAGCUGGUCUGAGAGGGUGACCUGCCACAAUGGAACUGAGAAACGGUCCAGACUCCUACGGGAGGCAGCAGUGGGGAAUAUUGCACAAGGGGAGCAAGCCUGAUGCAGCCAUGCCGAGUGUAUGAAGAAGGCCAUCGGGUUGUAAAGUAAUUUCGGAAGGGAGGAGUUACACGCAGAAAAAGCACAGGCUAACUACGUGCCAGCAGCCGCGGUAAUUC
rnacentral:rRNA from 1 species